GACGAACGCUGGCGGCGUGCUUAACACAUGCAAGUCGAACGGAAAGGCCCUGCUUUUGUGGGGUGCUCGAGUGGCGAACGGGUGAGUAACACGUGAGUAACCUGCCCUUGACUUUGGGAUAACUUCAGGAAACUGGGGCUAAUACCGGAUAGGAGCUCCUGCUGCAUGGUGGGGGUUGGAAAGUUUCGGCGGUUGGGGAUGGACUCGCGGCUUAUCAGCUUGUUGGUGGGGUAGUGGCUUACCAAGGCUUUGACGGGUAGCCGGCCUGAGAGGGUGACCGGCCACAUUGGGACUGAGAUACGGCCCAGACUCCUACGGGAGGCAGCAGUGGGGAAUAUUGCACAAUGGGCGGAAGCUUGAUGCAGCAACGCCGCGUGCGGGAUGACGGCCUUCGGGUUGUAAACCGCUUUCGCCUGUGACGAAGCGUGAGUGACGGUAAUGGGUAAAGAAGCACCGGCUAACUACGU
rnacentral:rRNA from 1 species